GACGAACGCUGGCGGCGUGCUUAACACAUGCAAGUCGAACGGAAAGGCCUGCUUUCCCUUGUGGAUUGCGGGUACUCGAGUGGCGAACGGGUGAGUAACACGUGAGUGAUCUGCCCCCAACUUGGGUAUAAGCCUGGGAAACUGGGUCUAAUUCCCGAUAGGACUGCAGGGUGGUGCCUGUGGUGGAAAACGAUUUUCUAGUGGUUGGGGAUGAGCUCGCGGCCUAUCAGCUUGUUGGUGGGGUAAUGGCCUACCAAGGCGGCGACGGGUAGCCGGCCAGGGAGGGUAGACAGCCACAGUGGGACUGAGAUACGGCCCAGACUCCUGCGGGAGGCAGCAGUGGGGAGUAUUGCACCAUGGGCGGAAGCCUGAUGCAGCGACGCCGCGUGGGGGAUGACGGCCUUCGGAUUGUGAACUCCUUUCGACCGCGAGGAAGCCACCUGGUUGGAAGGGUGGUGACGGUAGUGGUAGAAGAAGCACCGGCUAACUACGUG
rnacentral:rRNA from 1 species